rnacentral:rRNA from 1 species
AUGAGCACAUGGGAGUGGUGGCUACAGGCUAGGGCUGAUGUUCCUAAGCAUAUGCGUCGCAAUUUCGACACAAUUGCAAUUCUGCUGCACUGGAGGAUCUGGAAAGAGCGCAACUCCAGGAUCUUUGAUCAGCUUGCCUAUAGCGCCCACAGGGUUCUUGAUCUAGUGCGGAAGGACAUAGGAGUGUGGCGGGCUGUCAGCUGCAUCUCCGACUUGGGUGCUUAA